rnacentral:tRNA from 1 species
AAAUAAGAAGUAAAAAAAAAUACAUUUAGUUUCGACCUAAAAAUUUGGAAUAAUUCCCUUAUUUA